ACAACUACAUUAGGACUGUCGAUCUACCGAGCAAUAUCACCCGCUCGGUGGAAGAUCUUCCCUUUGUCGUAUAUC
rnacentral:pre_miRNA from 1 species